GAUGAACGCUGGCGGCGUGCCUAAUACAUGCAAGUCGAGCGAACAGACGAGGAGCUUGCUCCUCUGACGUUAGCGGCGGACGGGUGAGUAACACGUGGAUAACCUACCUAUAAGACUGGGAAAACUUCGGGAAACCGGAGCUAAUACCGGAUAAUAUAUUGAACCGCAUGGUUCAAUAGUGAAAGACGGUUUUGCUGUCACUUAUAGAUGGAUCCGCGCCGCAUUAGCUAGUUGGUAAGGUAACGGCUUACCAAGGCAACGAUGCGUAGCCGACCUGAGAGGGUGAUCGGCCACACUGGAACUGAGACACGGUCCAGCCUCCUACGGGAGGCAGCAGUAGGGAAUCUUCCGCAAUGGGCGAAAGCCUGACGGAGCAACGCCGCGUGAGUGAUGAAGGUCUUCGGAUCGUAAAACUCUGUUAUUAGGGAAGAACAAAUGUGUAAGUAACUAUGCACGUCUUGACGGUACCUAAUCAGAAAGCCACGGCUAACUACGUG
rnacentral:rRNA from 1 species